GGGCCGGUAGCUCAGGGGAAGAGCGCCCGCUAACGGUACACACCGUCGGGAAUUGCAAGCGGGAGUCCCCCGCAACGCGGGGGCCCAAAGUCGCGGGUUCAAAUCCCGCCCGGUCCA
rnacentral:tRNA from 1 species